rnacentral:tRNA from 1 species
GUCCAGGUCCAUAGCCUAGUGGACAUGGCAUCUGCCCGGUAAGCGGAACACAGUGGGUUCAAUUCCCAUCCCUGGACA